UGCUCCGCAGCAUUCCUUUGAGGCAGUUCCCCUUUCCUGCUGCUCCAGCUGCUGCAAUGCUGAUAUGAAGUGCACAUGAAAGUCUGAGAGAGUGUGUGCUGCUGCUCUUGCACAUUUGGAAACCGGAUUCAUUGCAAAGCUCAGAGACUCAUGGAGAAAGCACUGCAGAACUUCACCUGAGAUAGCACAGUUCUACUCCAGCUCCAUCCUCACCAGCGGACCUGUAAGCCUCUUCUCCACAGCCCCGACUGCUGCAUGUGAAAGACCCAGAAGAAACCUCUCCAGCUUUCACAGUUGAGCUUGCUCUGAACAGGUAAAUCUGGAAAUAAACAUUUUUGCUUAUCAGCUGGGUGGAUCUGUGAGGUGAUCAGAAAGACAAAUUUCCACAGUGCCCGCCAAGGUAAUUUUUCAAAGUACAACUGACUUUUAAAUAUCAGUGCAGAGCAGCCAGGACAUUUGGAGAUCUUACCCAAAGACCUUCAAGGAACAGGCCAUGUUGUAUCUCUUUGGUCUCCUUGGGCUACACAAAUACUUCAACUCGCUGAAAGGCACAGCUCCUUACAACAAUGCAACAGACGAAAUGCACGGUGCUUUUACAGACACAUAUUUACUUUGGGGCCAAGGCGUCCAUAAUUACAGAGUGCUUUGCAACUCAGAGGACCCUAAAUAUCUCUGCAGGCCAAUUUGCCCUGUGGCAGCCUGUGGGCAUCCUCCUGUACUUCCAAGCUGAGCAGUAGCUAGCUAGAUCUUCUCAUGUGGGCCUUCCCCUGCUUCAUCAUCCGCCCUCCUGAGCCAUCCCCUCACUUUUGUACCAAGCCUGCACCGGGCAGUGCCAGCACUGGGCUCAAGCACAGCCAUGCCAUUUAGCUGCUGCUAGACUUCCUGGCAUGAUUUCGGCCCAGACUACAGUCUGUCUCAUUUUGGGAGCUAUGAACAAUACAGGAACAGUUCCGCGAGAGGCAGGAUGGACAAGGAACAUUUAGCCACAGCACUUGCCUUUAGGGCUAAGACCCCAGCUAUUUUAUUAAUGAACAUACUUGCGCUUUUGAGAGCAGGGCACCCCUUCCGCAGCCAUGCUGCACACUGGACAGGACAGGGAAGGAAGAAGUCAGCCAGGAGCCUUCUUCCAAGGAGCCUUCAAGCUGGGACUCAACUCUACUGGACCUCAGUUUGAGGAGCUGCAUACCUCCCUGGUGGAGCUGGUGGACCUGGCUGUGUGCGUGCAUCCCUGUGCCUUGAUGUUCACAGCUCCCCAAGACACCGCUGAAACUCGUGAUCAGGGAUAAUGGGAGCUGGUGAAUCAACACGUGCCUUGAAGUGCUCUCAUUUGGUUCUCUGGGAUAACACACUCGGUGUUCUGGUUUAGCAGUGUUUGCACAUACCCCGACCCACUUGUUUACAUCAUACUUUGUAAUUACCUCCGCUGAGCUGUUUCGUUGUUUCUGGGGGAGACGUAGUCUGUGCUUUGCCGACACAGUUUGCUUUAUCUAAGGUCUUUUGAACACUUCCUUUUGGGAUUUUAUUUCACCGGCUCUUUAGCAAAUGCUGCAGCUAUUUUCUCAUCUAGCGGUGGCCAGAACUUUUGUCUGGGUGAAGAAUAUGGGGACAGCCGACUUCCUGCCAUUAAGGAAAUCUCUCGUUGUACAACCGAGGUUGAGACAGAUUAAUUUGAUCCACACUUGCUACAAAACAGCUUGGUUCUUUGGCUGUGCUAAUGCUCUACUUAGUCUGAAAAAAGCGAGGGGACAGAGCUUUAAACAACCUUCAGCUGUAGCCCAAGCACAACAUCGCAUCACUUCACUGAAAAUGCCACGGGAGGGAUAAACUGACGUGCCUUGGAGCUUGGAUGUGCCCCAUCACGUUCCUCUAGCGGGGUGUGUGUGCAGGCUGCACCCCUCGGGCAGGAUCUGGGUGGUGGAAGGGGACCUAGGCAGGAAUGAGAUGGGCUCUGUUCAAAUCUGACUCUUGGCCAGGGGAUGGGAGGAAGAGGGGAGCU